GACGAACGCUGGCGGCGUGCUUAACACAUGCAAGUCGAACGGAAAGGCCCUGCUUUUGUGGGGUGCUCGAGUGGCGAACGGGUGAGUAACACGUGAGUAACCUGCCCUUGACUUUGGGAUAACUUCAGGAAACUGGGGCUAAUACCGGAUAGGAGCUCCUGCUGCAUGGUGGGGGUUGGAAAGUUUCGGCGGUUGGGGAUGGACUCGCGGCUUAUCAGCUUGUUGGUGGGGUAGUGGCUUACCAAGGCUUUGACGGGUAGCCGGCCUGAGAGGGUGACCGGCCACAUUGGGACUGAGAUACGGCCCAGAGUCCUACGGGAGGCAGCAGUGGGGAAUAUUGCACAAUGGGCGGAAGCCUGAUGCAGCAGCGCCGCGUGCGGGAUGACGGCCUUCGGGUUGUAAACCGCUUUCGCCUGUGACGAAGCGUGAGUGACGGUAAUGGGUAAAGAAGCACCGGCUAACUACGUG
rnacentral:rRNA from 1 species